AUAACAAACCUUUCACAAUAGCUUUUUAAAAUUUAAACAUAUACACAGAGAAACUAGCAUUAUCAUGGAGGGAGAUUUGCAUGUACUUCUCUGAGGAACUGACAAACCAAGCAGAUACAAAAAUAAUGAGUCUUAAACGUGAUUGUUUCUGAUUUUUUUUAUAAUAUACUGAGAAUAUUAAUACUUUCAUACUGAUGCAUGCUUAAAACCUUAAAAUAUUCAAAUUCUCAGAAAACAAUAACCUAAUAAAACCCAUUCAAGAGAGGAAAAACAUGUGUGUAAUCCUAUUAUCAGAAUAGUGUAAUUAGUUUUUCAGAGUAUCACAUGAGAAAGUCCAGACUACCAUUCAUGUUACAAGGAGCUAUAAUCUCACAAGUUCCAGAAAAACAAGCAACACUACUCUUCGAGCCAUUGUAGGAAGUCAAAAGCAAAACAAGGACAGUACAGGAAGGGAGAUGAAAACCAGCCUUACUCAACAGCAGACAUGAAGAAAGCAUUAUUACCACAUAAUGAAGUCAAAAAGUUCAUGCUAGUGUUGUUAUUCAUAAAAUUGGUGUUGGAGGUUUAAAAUAAAAAUCCCUAAUAUUUAGGACUGCAUAUUAUGUAGGAGUGAUAAGAUAUAAGAAGGUGAAAUUUAUAAAAAAAAAAAAAAAAACAAACCUUGCUUGGAGAUAAAGUACAAAUGUCUGAUCUCACAUGUUUCAGAAUCUGGAUGAGUCUCCAGGAUUUUCCUUUCUUAUCUUUUCCUUUUAUGUGUAUUUGAAAUUUUCAAAAUAAGGUUAGAAAUGUUUAUAUGUAAUUUCUUUUAAAAAGAGAAACAUUGAGGCUCUAGAAGCUAAUGCUGUGGAUAUAGACAGUUAGCAUGGUCAGAUGGGAAAUGCAUUUUUAAGGCAUUUGACUUGGCGUACUCCAAAAGGAAUUCCAAGCAUGGGACACCACAGGGGAAGGCAGAGCUUCACCUGCACAAGAAUAUUCCAGGAGGAUAGAUGCAAAUUCCAGGUCAUUCCAGAUGGGAGGGAAGUUCACAUACUUGGGAUGUCCCAGCCUAGGACCAGUCCUUCUUUAGCUGUGGUCAGAGUUGACUUUAGCUUUUUCCUCUUCACCAAGAUAAAGUAAGAUAAUGUAUAUGAGAAAGGUUGGCAGACUGCUAAACCUAAGACUCUCAAACUAUCGACAGAAACAAUUUUAAGUACACAGGGAAAGUUGGAGAUACAGCACCUGGGGAAACAGUUGGCCAGUUCCUUAAAACACAGACGGUUUCACUUGAUCCAGCAAUUCAGAUCUUCAGGAGAAAGUAAUAUGAAGACAGUUGACAGCAAGUGUCUACACAGAAACUUGGUGCAUAAGUGUUCAUAACAUCAUCAUCGGUAAUAACCGCAGCUGGGUUAGUGUCACCCCAUUAAAUGCAGUGUUCCUGAGUGGUAAAAAGCAAUGAAGUACUGAUGCAUGCCACAAAACGGAUAAAUCUUGAAAACAUGGUAACUGAAACAUACCAGUCAGGAAAACUCACAUGUUGUAUGAUUCCAAUUAUACGGAAUGGCCAGACAAGGCAAAUCUACAGAGAAAGUAGGUUAAUUUCUGCUGGUGUUGAAAGGAAAGGAAAAAUGGAUAGUGAAUUUAAUGGACAAUAGUUUGUUCUGGAGAUAAUAAAAAUACUCUAAAAUUUAUGGUGAUGGCUAUAUAACUGUGAACAUACUAAAAACCACUAAAUUGUGUAUUUUAAAUGGGUAUUGUUAUGGUAUGUGAAUAAAGCUUUUAUUUUUUUUUAUUUUAAUAAAAAGAGGAAAAAUGGUUUGCACCCAAAUGUUUUCACCUCCUAUCCUUAACCCUCUGUCUCACCACCACCUAGGUCCAGAAGAGUUUUCUCUUAAACUCAAGAUUUUUUGUUUGUUUGUUUGUUUCAAUGGUUUCAUUGAGCAAAUGCUAUUUCUGAAACAGGAGCAGAAAGUCAACCACUGUCAUUUUAUCCCACUAAUUCUACCCGCUCUCUGCUCCAGUAACUUUUAAGCAUGAGUAAGAAAGGAAGCCUAUAAUACAGGAUUGAGUCGUUCCUAAAGUGAGGUGAAGGAAGGAUCAGCCAGCAGGAUAGAUCCCUUCUACUACUAUUCA